rnacentral:rRNA from 1 species
GUGUACCUACGGGGGGCAGCAGUGAGGAAUAUUGGUCAAUGGGCGGGAGCCUGAACCAGCCACGUCGCGUGAGGGAAGACGGUCCUAUGGAUUGUAACCCUCUUUAGGCGGGGAGCAAUGCCGGGCACGCGUGUCCGGAGGGAGAGUACCCGCAGAAUAAGCAUCGGCUAACUCCGUGCCAGCAGCCGCGGUAAUACGGAGGAUGCGAGCGUUAUCCGGAUUUACUGGGUUUAAAGGGUGUGUAGGCGGAUUUUUAAGUCAGCGGUAAAAUGUCCGGGCUCAACCCGGGCCGGCCGUUGAAACUG